CCUACGGGAGGCAGCAGUGGGGAAUCUUGCGCAAUGCACGAAAGUGUGACGCAGCAACGCCGCGUGGAGGAAGAAGGCUCUCGGGUCGUAAACUCCUUUCAGUUGGGACGAAGCUUCGUCGGUUAAUAGCCGGCUGGAGUGACGGUACCUUCACAAGAAGCACCGGCUAACUACGUGCCAGCAGCCGCGGUAAUACGUAGGGUGCAAGCGUUGUCCGGAAUCAUUGGGCGUAAAGAGCGUGUAGGCGGCCCGAUUAGUCCGCUGUGAAAGUCCAGGGCUCAACCCUGGAAUGCCGGUGGAUACUGUCGGGCUCGAGUCCGGAAGAGGCGAGUGGAAUUCCUGGUGUAGCGGUGAAAUGCGCAGAUAUCAGGAAGAACACCAACGGCGAAGGCAGCUCGCUGGGACGGUACUGACGCUGAGACGCGAAAGCGUGGGGAGCAAACAGGAUUAGAUACCCUGGUAGUCCACGCCGUAAACGAUGGGUACUAGGUGUGGGGGUGUCGACUCCCCCGUGCCGAGCUACGCAUAGUACCCGCCUGGGNGACGCGCGAGCGUAACUAAUUAGAGUAGAGGCGUGNGACGNGCGACGGCGACGACGAGGGAGGAGG
rnacentral:rRNA from 1 species